rnacentral:rRNA from 1 species
GAUGAACGCUGGCGGCGUGCCUAAUACAUGCCAGUCGAGCGAACGGACGAGAAGCUUGCUUCUCUGAUGUUAGCGGCGGACGGGUGAGUAACACGUGGAUAACCUACCUAUAAGACUGGGAUAACUUCGGGAAACCGGAGCUAAUACCGGAUAAUAUUUUGAACCGCAUGGUUCAAAAGUGAAAGACGGUCUUGCUGUCACUUAUAGAUGGAUCCGCGCUGCAUUAGCUAGUUGGUAAGGUAACGGCUUACCAAGGCAACGAUGCAUAGCCGACCUGAGAGGGUGAUCGGCCACACUGGAACUGAGACACGGUCCAGACUCCUACGGGAGGCAGCAGUAGGGAAUCUUACGCAAUGGGCGAAAGCCUGACGGAGCAACGCCGCGUGAGUGAUGAAGGUCUUCGGAUCGUAAAACUCUGUUAUUAGGGAAGAACAUAUGUGUAAGUAACUGUGCACAUCUUGACGGUACCUAAUCAGAAAGCCACGGCUAACUACGUG